AGGAAAACCUUGGUGCCUUGGGAGGGGCCCGCGGCCUAUCAGGUAGUUGGUGAGGUAACGGCUCACCAAGCCGACGACGGGUAGGGGGCGUGAGAGCGUGGCCCCCCACACGGGAACUGAGACACGGUCCCGACGCCUACGGGCGGCAGCAGUGAGGAAUCUUGCCCAAUGGGGGAAACCCUGAGGCAGCGACACCGCGUGCGGGAUGAAGGCCUUCGGGUCGUAAACCGCUUUUCUGGGGGACGAGUAAGGACGGUACUCCAGGAAUAAGUCCCGGCUAACUACGUGCCAGCAGCCGCGGUAAAACGUAGGGGGCGAGCGUUAUCCGGAAUCACUGGGCGUAAAGGGCGUCUAGGCGGCAGCCUAAGUCCCGUGUGAAAGCUCCCGGCUCAACUGGGAGAGGGCAUGGGAGACUGGGCAGCUAGAGACUCGGAGGGGGGUGUGGAAUUCCCGGUGGAGUGGUGGAAUGCGUUGAGAUCGGGAGGAACACCAGUAGCGAAGGCGGCACCCUGGCCGAGAUCUGACGCUGAAGCGCGAGAGCGUGGGGAGCGAACGGGAUUAGAUACCCCGGUAGUCCACGCCGUAAACGAUGACAACUAGGUGUUGGGUGUCCAAGGAUGCUCAGUACCGCAGCAAACGC
rnacentral:rRNA from 1 species